GACCCACGGCAAACGGGUGCGUAACACAUUGGUAACCUACCUCGAGGUCGUGAAUAACUCGGCGAAAGCCGAGGUAAUACACGAUGGACAAGGGGGGACAUAAGUCAUUCCCUUGUAAAGAUUUAUCGCCUCGAGAGGGGCCUAUGCCCUAUCAGCUAGUUGGAGAGGUAAUGGCUCACCAAGGCUUUGACGGGUAGGGGGCGUAAGAGCGCGACCCCCCUCACUGGGACUGAGACACUGCCCAGACACCUACGGGUGGCUGCAGUCGAGAAUAUUCCUCAAUGCACGAAAGUGUGAAGGAGCGACGCCGCGUGCCAGAUGAAGCCCUUCGGGGUGUAAAUGGCUUUUUUCAGGGACGAAUUCUGACGGUACCUGAAGAAUAAGUGGUUGCUAACUCUGUGCCAGCAGCAGCGGUAAUACAGAGACCACGAGCGUUAUCCGGAUUUAUUGGGCGUAAAGCGUCCGCAGGUGGUUAUGAAAGUCAUUUGUGAAACCGUUGGGCUCAACCCAACGUGCGCAGGUGAUACUUCAUGACUCGAGGCCGGGAGAGGCACAUGGAAUUGCUGGUGUAGCGGUAAAAUGCGUUAAUAUCAGCAAGAACACCAAAGGCGAAGGCAGUGUGCUAGAACGGUCCUGACACUCAUGGACGAAAGCGUGGGUAGCGAAUGAGAUUAGAUACCUCAGUAGUCCACGCCCUAAACGAUGAAUGCUAGAUUUUGGGAGUAUCGACCCUCCCAGAGUCGGUUAACCAAGCUAACGCGUUAAGCAUUCCGCCUAUGGAGUACGGCCGCAAGGCUAAAACACAAAGGAAUAGACGGGGACCCGCACAAGCGGUGGAGCAUAUGGUUUAAUUCGACGGUAAGCGAGUAACCUUACCUGGGCUCAACUACUA
rnacentral:rRNA from 1 species